GUGCCAGCCGCCGCGGUAAUACGUAGGGUGCGAGCGUUAAUCGGAAUUACUGGGCGUAAAGCGUGCGCAGGCGGUUUUGUAAGACAGGUGUGAAAUCCCCGGGCUUAACCUGGGAACUGCGCUUGUGACUGCAAGACUGGAGUGUGGCAGAGGGGGGUGGAAUUCCACGUGUAGCAGUGAAAUGCGUAGAGAUGUGGAGGAACACCGAUGGCGAAGGCAGCCCCCUGGGUCAACACUGACGCUCAUGCACGAAAGCGUGGGGAGCAAACAGGAUUAGAUACCCUGGUAGUCCACGCCCUAAACGAUGCGAACUAGGUGUUGGAGAAGGAGACUUCUUUAGUACCGUAGCUAACGCGUGAAGUUCGCCGCCUGGGGAGUACGGUCGCAAGAUUAAAACUCAAAGGAAUUGACGGGGACCCGCACAAGCGGUGGAUGAUGUGGAUUAAUUCGAUGCAACGCGAAAAACCUUACCUACCCUUGACAUGCCUCGAAUCCUGCAGAGAUGUGGGAGUGCUCGAAAGAGAGCGAGGACACAGGUGCUGCAUGGCUGUCGUCAGCUCGUGUCGUGAGAUGUUGGGUUAAGUCCCGCAACGAGCGCAACCCUUGUCAUUAGUUGCCAUCAUUCAGUUGGGCACUCUAAUGAGACUGCCGGUGACAAACCGGAGGAAGGUGGGGAUGACGUCAAGUCCUCAUGGCCCUUAUGGGUAGGGCUUCACACGUCAUACAAUGGUCGGUACAGAGGGUUGCCAAGCCGCGAGGUGGAGCCAAUCCCAGAAAGCCGAUCGUAGUCCGGAUCGCAGUCUGCAACUCGACUGCGUGAAGUCGGAAUCGCUAGUAAUCGUGGAUCAGCAUGCCACGGUGAAUACGUUCCCGGGUCUUGUACACACCGCCCGUCACACCAUGGGAGUGGGUUUCACCAGAAGUAGGUAGCCUAACCGCAAGGGGGGCGCUUACCACGGUGGGAUUCAUGACUGGGGUGAAGUCGUAACAAGGUAACC
rnacentral:rRNA from 1 species